AAAUUGAAGAGUUUGAUCAUGGCUCAGAUUGAACGCUGGCGGCAGGCCUAACACAUGCAAGUCGAACGGUAACAGGAAACAGCUUGCUGUUUCGCUGACGAGUGGCGGACGGGUGAGUAAUGUCUGGGAAACUGCCUGAUGGAGGGGGAUAACUACUGGAAACGGUAGCUAAUACCGCAUAACGUCGCAAGACCAAAGAGGGGGACCUUAGGGCCUCUUGCCAUCGGAUGUGCCCAGAUGGGAUUAGCUAGUAGGUGGGGUAAAGGCUCACCUAGGCGACGAUCCCUAGCUGGUCUGAGAGGAUGACCAGCCACACUGGAACUGAGACACGGUCCAGACUCCUACGGGAGGCAGCAGUGGGGAAUAUUGCACAAUGGGCGCAAGCCUGAUGCAGCCAUGCCGCGUGUAUGAAGAAGGCC
rnacentral:rRNA from 1 species